rnacentral:rRNA from 1 species
GAUGAACGCUGGCGGCGUGCCUAAUACAUGCAAGUCGAGCGAACAGACGAGGAGCUUGCUCCUCUGACGUUAGCGGCGGACGGGUGAGUAACACGUGGAUAACCUACCUAUAAGACUGGGAUAACUUCGGGAAACCGGAGCUAAUACCGGAUAAUAUAUUGAACCGCAUGGUUCAAUAGUGAAAGACGGUUUUGCUGUCACUUAUAGAUGGAUCCGCGCCGCAUUAGCUAGUUGGUAAGGUAACGGCUUACCAAGGCAACGAUGCGUAGCCGACCUGAGAGGGCGAUCGGCCGCACUGGAACUGAGACACGGUCCAGACUCCUACGGGAGGCAGCAGUAGGGAAUCUUCCGCAAAGGGCGAAAGCCUGACGGAGCAACGCCGCGUGAGUGAUGAAGGUCUUCGGAUCGUAAAACUCUGUUAUUAGGGAAGAACAAAUGUGUAAGUAACUAUGCACGUCUUGACGGUACCUGAUCAGAAAGCCACGGCUAGCUACGUG